GCCCGGGUGGCGAAAUGGCAGACGCGCUAGCCUUAGGAGCUAGUGAGCUUAGCUCGUGUGGGUUCGAGUCCCUCCCCGGGCACCA
rnacentral:tRNA from 1 species